rnacentral:rRNA from 1 species
UACGUAGGGGGCGAGCGUUGUCCGGAUUUACUGGGCGUAAAGGGCAUGCAGGCGGUCGGACGCGUUUCGGGUGACAGCGGGUGGCUUAACUACCCGAGUGGUCGAAAGACGGUUUGACUUGAGGACGCGAGAGGGACACGGAAUUCCGGGUGGAGUGGUGAAAUGCGUAGAGAUCGGGAGGAACACCAGUGGCGAAGGCGAUCGUCUGGGGUUGUUCUGACACUGAGGAGCGAGAGCUAGGGGAGCAAACGGG